GACGAAGGGGGCUAGCGUUGUUCGGAAUUACUGGGCGUAAAGCGCGUGUAGGCGGUUGUCCAAGUCGGAUGUGAAAGCCUUGAGCUUAACUCAAGAAAUGCAUUCAGGACUGGAUGACUAGAGGACCGGAGAGGAUAGUGGAAUUCCCAGUGUAGUGGUGAAAUACGUAGAGAUUGGGAAGAACACCAGUGGCGAAGGCGGCUCACUGGACCGGAACUGACGCUGAGGCGCGAAAGCGUGGGGAGCAAACGGG
rnacentral:rRNA from 1 species